GCAAGUCGAGGGGUAACAUAGGAAAGCUUGCUUUUCUGAUGACGACCGGCGCACGGGUGCGUAACGCGUAUACAACCUACCUUUUAGCGGGGAAUAGCCCAGGGAAACUUGGAUUAAUGCCCCAUAGUAUAUGGACUUCUCCUGAAGUUUAUAUUAAACAUUUAUGGCUAUUAGAUGGGUAUGCGUCCUAUUAGUUAGUUGGUAAGGUAACGGCUUACCAAGGCAGCGAUAGGUAGGGGUCCUGAGAGGGAGAUCCCCCACACUGGUACUGAGACACGGACCAGACUCCUACGGGAGGCAGCAGUGAGGAAUAUUGGACAAUGGGCGAGAGCCUGAUCCAGCCAUGCCGCGUGCAGGAAGACUGCCCUAUGGGUUGUAAACUGCUUUUACAGAGGAAGAAUCGCCNCUACGUGUNGUGGUUUGACGGUACUCUGCGAAUAAGGAUCGGCUAACUCCGUGCCAGCAGCCGCGGUAAUACGGAGGAUCCAAGCGUUAUCCGGAAUCAUUGGGUUUAAAGGGUCCGUAGGCGGGCAGUUAAGUCAGUGGUGAAAGUCUUCCGCUCAACGGGAGAACUGCCAUUGAUACUGAUUGUCUUGAGUUAUUAUGAAGUGGUUAGAAUGAGUAGUGUAGCGGUGAAAUGCAUAGAUAUUACUCAGAAUACCGAUUGCGAAGGCAGAUCACUAAUAAUAUACUGACGCUGAUGGACGAAAGCGUAGGUAGCGAACAGGAUUAGAUACCCUGGUAGUCUACGCCGUAAACGAUGGUUACUAGCUGUUCGG
rnacentral:rRNA from 1 species